rnacentral:rRNA from 1 species
AACGAACACUGGCGGCAGGCCUAACACAUGCCAGUCGAGCGGACCUUUCGGGGUCAGCGGCGGACGGGUGAGUAACGCGUGGGAAUAUGCCCUUCUCUACGGAAUAGUCCUGGGAAACUGGGGGUAAUACCGUAUACGCCCUUUGGGGGAAAGAUUUAUCGGGGAAGGAUUAGCCCGCGUUGGAUUAGGUAGUUGGUGGGGUAAUGGCCUACCAAGCCGACGAUCCAUAGCUGGUUUGAGAGGAUGAUCAGCCACACUGGGACUGAGACACGGCCCAGACUCCUACGGGAGGCAGCAGUGGGGAAUCUUAGACAAUGGGGGCAACCCUGAUCUAGCCAUGCCGCGUGAGUGAUGAAGGCCUUAGGGUUGUAAAGCUCUUUCAGCUGGGAAGAUAAUGACGGUACCAGCAGAAGAAGCCCCGGCUAACUCCGUG